UGUACAGAAUUGGGAGGCUAGCGGGACCGACGAUCCGUCAAGAUUCAAGAACGUUUCGCGAGGAACAACUCUACGCACGAUCUGUGAAGAAAUUUGGCCGAGACCUCAACCCGAAGGCGGAGAUCCAAGAACGGGACCUAAUCUAAGGAAAUCAGUAUUUUUGGACACCUCACGGGCAAAGAAAUGCUAGCAAAAAGGCACACGUCAACCAGGUAAGUCACCACCCGGUAUUUAGGAAGAAACACU